rnacentral:rRNA from 1 species
CCGAUGGAGGGGGGUAACUACUGGAAACGGUAGCUAAUACCGCAUAACGUCGCAAGACCAAAGAGGGGACCUUCGGGCCUCUUGCCAUCGGAUGUGCCCAGAUGGGAUUAGCUAGUAGGUGGGGUAACGGCUCACCUAGGCGACGAUCCCUAGCUGGUCUGAGAGGAUGACCAGCCACACUGGAACUGAGACACGGUCCAG